GCAGUCUAACUUAAAGUAUCUAUAGUAUCUAUGACUACAAAUUCUACCUUAGCUCCCGAGAAUUGCUCUCU